CUGGAGGUAUCAGAAGUGCGAAUGCUGACAUAAGUAACGAUAAAGCGGGUGAAAAGCCCGCUCGCCGGAAGACCAAGGGUUCCUGUCCAACGUUAAUCGGGGCAGGGUGAGUCGACCCCUAAGGCGAGGCCGAAAGGCGUAGUCGAUGGGAAACAGGUUAAUAUUCCUGUACUUGGUGUUACUGCGAAGGGGGGACGGAGAAGGCUAUGUUGGCCGGGCGACGGUUGUCCCGGUUUAAGCGUGUAGGCUGGUUUUCCAGGCAAAUCCGGAAAAUCAAGGCUGAGGCGUGAUGACGAGGCACUACGGUGCUGAAGCAACAAAUGCCCUGCUUCCAGGAAAAGCCUCUAAGCAUCAGGUAACAUCAAAUCGUACCCCAAACCGACACAGGUGGUCAGGUAGAGAAUACCAAGGCGCUUGAGAGAACUCGGGUGAAGGAACUAGGCAAAAUGGUGCCGUAACUUCGGGAGAAGGCACGCUGAUAUGUAGGUGAAGUCCCUCGCGGAUGGAGCUGAAAUCAGUCGAA
rnacentral:rRNA from 1 species